AUGCAAGCUGCCCUUCAUGUUACGAUGGAAUGCAGGACCUCAUCUCGCUGCUGCUUCUGAAUGAUGGAAGGGGAUUCCGCUGGGACAGGGAUGUUAAACCGGAUUAAGGUGCUCACCGGCUGAGAACGCACAACAGUCCCUGAGGUCUUCUGCUUAAGAUGCCCACCGGAGUGAAUGGAACCAAGAGAAUCUCCCCAUUGUGGAUGCGAUUCAUGUGCCUGAGUGAUGAAUGUCUCCUGAAAUGCCCCAUUUCUAGUGGGAAUCCCUCUGUCACCUUAUGUGUUUUUCUAAGAGUUUAGAUGCCUGAAAUAUCUCAAAGAUGAUGCGUUUAUAAUUCUAUGUAAAUAAAAAAUGUACUUUAUCAUCAAAAUGAAA